UAAGUUCGGUUUUAUAUCGUUGUUAUAUUGAUUGACGAGGAUGUUUUUCCUUUCGGGUUUUUUAUGUUUAUUUUUACUGGUUUGUUGUUUGUUAGUUGUUUGUUUUUAUUUUCGGCAUGAGGUUUGGUUAUUUUUGUGCUUAUGUUGUGCUAUCGAGGUAAGAAAGGGGUCGAUGAGCAAUGGGUCGGCAAAUGCCUGGUAUUAUAGGUUCUUUGAAGGUUGGAUAAAAGAAUGAAACAUGGACUGCUAAUUUGCUUGGUGGUGUUUUUCAGAUUUUGGGAGAUUGGGUGUAGGUUCUUGCUAUGUGUAACAUAGCUGAAACUGUUUUUUUUUUCUUCUUCCCUGGAACGGAACGCCGGACUUUACCAUCCUACACUCAGUGUGAGUGAAAUCAGCUCAUGCUUCUCGGUGUAGCAGCUCAGAGUGCACGGCCUGGCCGGCGUGGGGGUUUGGUGGCCACGUGGUGUUGGCCGGUGGUUGUGCAGAGAGUUGGUAGAAUUGCCGUUUGGUGGUGCCUGGUAUUGGUUGAACUGUGGUUCCCAUACAGGUGAACGGUUACUGGCGUAAGGUGUGCCAGGUGGGCGUACCCCGUGGAGAAUGAGCUGCUGGUGAUGUUGGCUCUGUCCGAGCGUGUCCGAGCGGGGUUUUCAUUAGUGGGUUAGGGAUUGUUGAUAAGGGUACCAACUACCAGGUGAGACUUGAGAGGGUAAAUGGAGUUCAUGCUAAUGAUACCCAAUGCAAUGGUAUUGGUCUAAAAUGGUAUUGUUACCUGGUUAGGUUGGAGUGAAAGGUUAAGUGGGUGAUAUAGGUACGGAGGUGCAGAGGUGAUAGUGGAAACCACUUGUGUGGUAAGUCUCGGGAGUCGGGACUAGGAUAUUUUAGAUUAGAUGGGAAAUUAUGUUAGGUAGUUUGGAUGCACUGGCGAUAAUAUAGUAAGUUACAGGAUAGUACCCAAAGGAAGUUUUCACCCUCAUAUUUAAAGACUGCAUUAGGUAUGCCAUUUUCUAUAACGAUGCAGUUUUAUGGUAGCCCGUGAUUGUUUUGCUCUCACUCUACAUUGAGGUGCGAGUUAACUGUUUUCAGUUUUUUUUUAUGGUAGUGGCGUUUGUGAAUCGUUUUUUUUUUUGCCAGAGUAAGGUGCCUUUUUGUCGUGGUCAAUAAAUAGAGCAUUGCCUAGGCAUGCAUAAGCGACAUCAAUCAUCAUGGUAAUGUUGGUAUGCAAUAUGCAUAUCCUGCCGAUGUGUCAUCGCGCGCAUUGUCAGAUAAAUGGCUCCAGUAUGUAUAAUCCCUCCCGAUACCCUCCUUUGAUACGAGCUUUCGGCUAAAAAUGGUUAUGUGACACAAUCCGUUUUUUUCUUCCAUGGCUUGGUGGGUGGUUGGCAUCCGACUCUGAACGGCGACGGAUCGGCACACUCGGCGGGGCCGGCCCGCUGGGCCAGAGUCUUCUUUGGCCGCUGGAGGAUUUCUUCACAGCUCCCGCGUCAGCUGAGGGAGUUCCGACCCCUCCCAGCUCAUCUAGCUCCAGUGGUGCUGCCCGUGCUGCCUAGCAGGUCUUACGGGACAUCGUCAGGUAUAGGCCAAGGUGGCCGGGGUUUUGAAAGGUACGUUGUUCCAUGUAUGCCGGGCCCGGUACAUAUCUGUUAAUGGAGGUUCUAGGGGGACCCGAUAGGGUAGAUAGUGAACGCUUGGGCAUGGGCGAUAUCGGCAUUUUUGUGGGGAUAUUUGGUUCCACCAAUAGGAACAUGAGGGGCAAUGCUGGUGGAAAGUAAGAUAGUAAUAAAAUUCUGAUAAAAUCGUUACGAGGCCUGAAGGUAUUAAAAAAAAAAAAUGAAAUCUAGUCAACUCUAAGUUCAACGUGUUUUCAACCUUGGUUUGCUGCUGCUGCUGAGGCUUGUUAAAUCGUCUAUAACUAUAUUCAAAGCAGUCUGUUUCUUUGAUUUUUUUUUUCUACUUGUCGCUAUAGGAUAUGGGAUGACCUUUCUCCUGCAAUCAGCAAAUGAACAAUACAGGUCAGGUGCUAUCAAUAAUAGGUAAAAAGGAUUUAGUCAGUA
rnacentral:lncRNA from 1 species